rnacentral:rRNA from 1 species
AGCAGCCGCGGUAAUUCCAGCUCCAAUAGCGUAUAUUAAAGUUGUUGCAGUUAAAAAGCUCGUAGUUGAAUUUCGGGAUCGAUACGUCGGUCGUGCCUUCGGUACGUACUGUCGUCAUCGAUUUCUCCCUUCUGACGAACCAUGAUGUCAUUAAUUUGGUGUUAUGGGAAAUCAGGACUUGUUACUUUGAAAAAAUUGAGUGUUUAAAGCAAGCUAACGCUUAAAUACAUUAGCAUGGAAUAAUGAAAUAGGACGUUCGAUCCUAUUUUGUUGGUUUCUAGGAUUGACGUAAUGAUUAAUAGGGAUAGUUGGGGGCAUUAGUAUUCAAUUGUCAGAGGUGAAAUUCUUGGUAUUUAU